GCUGUUUGUCCUCUACUUGGUUGCUGUAAUAAUUUGAAAAAACAAAAAAAAAAAAAAAAUAAGGAAAAAGUAUGACAGUGUGUAAGCUCCCAGCUGUGUUUAUAACUUCUGUGAAGCUUGUGUUAGGUUUUCCACAGUACGUUCCUGAUGUAAGACAAAGAAAGAGUCUGCUGAUGGGCUGGGACUUCCGCUGACUAUUCAAGAAGACUUUCCAUGGGCCCAGGUGGAACCUCUGUUAUUUCUUGAAGGAGGAGGUCACAGACCAGGCAGCAUUGUGUCUCAGCUUGAGAAACAGCCUCAUGUCAUCUGGACCGGCACCAUUGUGGCAUGCUCUGCUAGGAGCAUUGCUUCUCGCUGGCAUCGUCUCCAUCACUUUGGGCUCCCUGCUGCUGCUGAGGCCAGAAUUAUUUAAAGGUGGAGCCAGAGGAGGAAAAGGGGGAGACCUGCGUGAGACUCUCCAGGAGCUCCAGAAUGCUCUGGAGAAGCUGCAAGACAUCUUAAGCAACUGCAAUGCAUCAAGAGAAGCAGCAUCAAACAAGCAGUCAUCAUCUGAAGCCAAUGAAAUUAGCACGUCAGUAGAAACAACAACUGCUAAGCAGACAACAACAGCUACUGAAACUACAUCAGUGAAACCAUCCAGCAGAUUCGCCGUUUCAACUUCUAGUAAGUGAAAUAUCUUUUUCCUGUUAGUCCAAAAUAUCAAGUAACUUAGUUCUUCAGAUGAAUAAUGUAUUCUGUAUCAUACUGAUGAGCUGACUGCUGCGUUCACUGUCAAAUUUUUGCUUUUAUAGUUCUG
rnacentral:lncRNA from 1 species